UACGUAGGGGGCAAGCGUUGUCCGGAAUCAUUGGGCGUAAAGCGCACGUAGGCGGCUUUCUAAGUCAGGGGUGAAAUCCUGGAGCUCAACUCCAGAACUGCCUUUGAUACUGGAGAGCUUGAGUCCGGGAGAGGUGAGUGGAACUCCGAGUGUAGAGGUGAAAUUCGUAGAUAUUCGGAAGAACACCAGUGGCGAAGGCGGCUCACUGGCCCGGUACUGACGCUGAGGUGCGAAAGCGUGGGGAGCAAACAGG
rnacentral:rRNA from 1 species